rnacentral:siRNA from 1 species
AUAUCCAGACCUAAUUAUUAG